UCUAUCAAUCAAUCAUCUUUGUGGGAUUGGGAACCAACCAACUUAAACCAACCACAUAGAUUGCCCUGCCCUGCCAUGCCCUCCUCCUCUCCUCCCGCUUUCAUAUAACGGUCAAAAAGCUGUUGCCUUGCCUAUUGCCAAUUGCCAUGCUUCACAGCACCGUCGUUUCCCCCAAGGCCCUUCAACUCAAUCUCGGCUUCUCUUCAUUUCUAGCCACAAACCAGAACCAGAGCAGGAGGAGGAGGAGGAGGAGGAUCAUCUUUUGCUCACAAACCAGAGAUGGUUCUGUGCGUGGUGGAGUUAAGACUAGCAGCACUACCAGUAGUAAUGGAUGGAGACAAUCUAUGUUUGUCGGUACGAAACCUGCCCUUGAAGAUUCCAUUCUGAGUGUCAGUGGUAAACAUGUGUUGACAGACGUGCCUCCCAAUGUGGUCUUCACACCAAUUCCCUACUCAUCGGCAGCAUUCCUUGGCGCCACUUCUCAAAAUGCUACUUCACAAUCACGCCAUGUUUUUAAGCUCGGAGUCUUACGUGAUGUCAGAUUAUUAAGUCUUUUUAGAUUUAAACUUUGGUGGAUGAUACCACGAGUGGGCAGUACAGGAAGUGACAUCCCUGUGGAAACUCAGCUGUUGCUCCUAGAAGCAAAGGAGGAGGAGGGAAAGGAGGAUAGUACAUCUUAUAUCUUAUUCUUGCCAGUUCUGGAUGGUGAAUUUAGAAGCAGCUUGCAGGGAAAUACAUCCAAUGAACUUGAGUUUUGCGUCGAAAGUGGUGACCCCGCUAUAGUUGCCUCAGAAUCCCUAAAAGCAGUUUUUGUGAAUUGUGGGAACCAUCCUUUCGAUCUGGUGAACGAAUCUAUGAAGACUUUGGCGAAGCAUUAUGGAAGCUUUGCUCUUAGAGAAACGAAACAGAUGCCUGGAAUGCUGGAUUGUUUUGGCUGGUGUACUUGGGAUGCCUUUUAUCAAGGAGUUAACCCUAAAGGAAUUAGAGACGGCCUCAGAAGUUUAUCAGAAGGAGGUACUCCAGCUAAGUUUUUGAUAAUCGAUGAUGGGUGGCAAGAUACAUCAAAUGAGUUCCAAAAAGAAGGGGAGCCAUUUGUUGAAGGGACACAGUUUGGAGGCAGAUUAAAUAGCAUUGAAGAAAAUAACAAGUUUCGCAGCACAACCAAUAUGGUUGAUAGUGACAAACCAAGUGGUCUCAAGGAUUUUGUUUCUGAGAUCAAGAAUUCCUUUGGCCUUAGGUAUGUGUAUGUAUGGCAUGCCCUUUUGGGAUAUUGGGGAGGGCUUGUUCCAAAUGCUCCAGGAACUAAAAAGUAUAACACUAAGUUCAGACACCCAGUACAGUCACCUGGAAAUUUGUCAAAUAUGAGGGAUGGAGCUAUGGAUAGUAUGGAGAAAUAUGGUGUUGGUGUAAUAGAUCCUGCAAAGGCAUAUCAAUUUUAUGAUGAUCUACACGGAUAUCUUGUUUCACAGGAUGUAGAUGGUGUUAAGGUUGAUGUUCAGAACAUACUGGAGACAGUUUCAGCAGGUUUAGGAGGGCGAGUCUCUCUAACUAGACGAUUCCAACAGGCACUUGAGAAGUCCAUAGCCACUCAUUUCCAAGAUAACAGCAUAAUCUGCUGCAUGGGCCAAAGCACAGACUCCAUUUACCAUUCAAAAAGAAGUGCUAUUACUCGAGCAUCUGAUGAUUACUACCCAAAAAACCCAACAACACAGACACUGCACAUUGCUGCAGUGGCUUUCAACAGCAUAUUCCUUGGUGAAGUUUUUGUCCCAGAUUGGGACAUGUUCUAUAGCCGGCAUGAGGCAGCUGAGUUCCAUGCUGCUGCUAGAGCUGUGGGAGGUUGCGGAGUCUAUGUAAGUGACAAACCUGGCCAGCAUGAUUUCGAGAUACUUAAAAGGCUUGUUCUUCCUGAUGGAACAGUUCUCAGAGCUAGAUAUCCUGGGAGGCCAUCACGGGAUUGUUUAUUUGUUGAUCCAGUUAUGGACGGGAAGAGUCUUCUGAAAAUAUGGAAUUUGAACAAAUGCAACGGAGUUAUAGGCAUUUUCAAUUGCCAAGGAGCAGGAAGCUGGCCUUGUCUGGAACAUAUCGUCCAGGUAAAAGCUAGUGAGGAGCUAUCUGGGAAGGUCUCUCCAGCCGAUAUCGAGUAUUUUGAAGAGGUAUCUGGAAAGCUUUGGACUGGAGAUUGUGCAGUCUAUUCCUUCAAACAAGGGUAUCUGUCUCGUUUACCGAAGGACAAGUCAGUUGAUGUCACAUUACAAAUUCUCCAAUGCGAUGUGUUUACUGUAUCCCCUAUUAAGGUUUACAAGCAAAAUAUUCAAUUUGCACCAAUUGGAUUAUUGAACAUGUACAAUUCCGGUGGAGCUGUUGACAGUAUUGACUUGUUCAGUGAUGCCUCUAGUUGUGUUAUACACAUCAAGGGAAGAGGGGCUGGUAGCUUUGGAGCGUACUCAAGUUCAAAGCCCAAAUCUUGCUCGGUGAACUCGAAAGAUGAGGGAUUUGAAUUCAGAGGUGAUGACAAUCUUCUGACUGUGACAAUUCCUGCCGCAACUAGUUCUUGGAACAUUAGUUUCUCUUAUUGAGGCCUAAUUCUUUUCCCAGCUACAGCUUGCGGCAAAGCUUCACCUCUAACAACAUUUUGACAGAUUUCAAAAUUAGUUCUUUUAGGCCUAGCAAUCUCAUCAAUGCCAGCAAAAUAAGCAUGAAUCGCAUGAAACAGGGGAGAAUCAAAAAGUGAUGAGCCCAAACUCAUUCUCAAUACCAUUCUUUGCCAUAA